rnacentral:rRNA from 1 species
UACGAAGGGGGCUAGCGUUGCUCGGAAUCACUGGGCGUAAAGCGCACGUAGGCGGAUUGUUAAGUCAGGGGUGAAAUCCUGGAGCUCAACUCCAGAACUGCCUUUGAUACUGGCGAUCUCGAGUCCGGGAGAGGUGAGUGGAACUGCGAGUGUAGAGGUGAAAUUCGUAGAUAUUCGCAAGAACACCAGUGGCGAAGGCGGCUCACUGGCCCGGUACUGACGCUGAGGUGCGAAAGCGUGGGGGAGCGAACAGG